AGUGAACGCUGGCGGUAGGCCUAACACAUGCAAGUCGAACAGCAGCACAGUAAGAGCUUGCUCUUACGGGUGGCGAGUGGCGGACGGGUGAGGAAUACAUCGGAAUCUACUUUUUCGUGGGGGAUAACGUAGGGAAACUUACGCUAAUACCGCAUACGACCUACGGGUGAAAGCAGGGGAUCUUCGGACCUUGCGCGAUUGAAUGAGCCGAUGUCGGAUUAGCUAGUUGGCGGGGUAAAGGCCCACCAAGGCGACGAUCCGUAGCUGGUCUGAGAGGAUGAUCAGCCACACUGGAACUGAGACACGGUCUAGACUCCUACGGGAGGCAGCAGUGGGGAAUAUUGGACAAUGGGCGCAAGCCUGAUCCAGCCAUACCGCGUGGGUGAAGAAGGCCUUCGGGUUGUAAAGCCCUUUUGUUGGGAAAGAAAAGCAGCAGGUUAAUACCCCGCUGUUCUGACGGUACCCAAAGAAUAAGCACCGGCUAACUUCGUG
rnacentral:rRNA from 1 species